AUUUAUUUGCUGCUUCCUUGUAUUUUGAUUGGUUAUUAGAUAUUUAUCUGGGGCCGUGAGGCUGUAUUGUAUUAGAUAUCAUUAGUUAGUGUUCUAUUCCGGUCCUGACGUAAAUGCGUAAAUUUCGAGGCUCUGUUUGAGCUUGUUAUAAUAUUUACUAGGUAAUAUAUUCGACAAUUUUCUCUGAAAAUAUUUAAAUGUUAAACUGAUAGUGAGUAGUGAUGGUAGCUAGUUUGUUAGGUUUUUCAGAAAGUCUUAUCCUUUGGAUUCAAAAUAUGAUGAGCAGUAGGCAUUAUGGUUUGGUGUUAAUACUGACGUGGUUGUGUUAUCCCAAUACAUAUAAAUGUUUUAAUAAAGGUUUGGUGUUAAUACUGAUGUGGUUGUGUUAUCCCAAUACAUAUAAAUGUUUUAAUAAAGGUUUGGUGUUAAUACUGAU
rnacentral:misc_RNA from 1 species